rnacentral:rRNA from 1 species
GACGAACCGUGCGAACGUUAUUCGGAAUCACUGGGCUUAAAGCGCGUGUAGGCGGGAGGGCACGUCCGUCGCUGAAAUCCCCCGGCUCAACCGGGGAACGGGCGCGGAUACGACCUUCCUUGAGGGGCGUAGGGGGACCUGGAACUUCCGGUGGAGCGGUGAAAUGCGUUGAGAUCGGAAGGAACGCCCGUGGCGAAAGCGGCUCACUGGACCGCAACUGACGCUGAGGCGCGAAAGCUAGGGGAGCAAACAGG